rnacentral:misc_RNA from 1 species
GUAGGUGAACCUGCGGAAGGAUCAUUAACACGUAUCCACGUUCAACCCCCUGUGCACUAUGACAUAACAUUGACGAGCCAGUCCAUUACUACUAAGUAUUUGAUAGUAAGGAGAUCUCCUUCAGGAUGAGCUCCGAGCGGUUGGAGAACAGGAAUUUGGUGGUGAGUUAGUGACUAGUUGGAAGUUUUCACCCCCCAAAACAAAAGUGAUAAAAAGUACAUUUCCGUUCUUCGUGAGCAGAAAUAUACGCAACUUCGAACAACUGUUAGCAAUGGAUAUCUUGGUUCUC